rnacentral:rRNA from 1 species
CCCUUAGAUGUUCUGGGCCGCACGCGCGCUACACUGAUGCAUUCAACGAGCCUAUCCUUGACCGACAGGUCCGGGUAAUCUUUGAAUCUGCAUCGUGACGGGGAUAGAUUAUUGCAAUUAUUAAUCUUCAACGAGGAAUGCCUAGUAGGCGCAAGUCAUCAGCUUGCGUCGAUUACGUCCCUGCCCUUUGUACACACCGCCCGUCGCUCCUACCGAUUGAGUGGUCCGGUGAACCUUCUGGAUUAAGCAGCAAUGCUUGAGAAGUUAGGUAAACCUUAUCACUUAGAGGAAGGAGAAGUCGUAACA